UCUGAAAUGGCAGAAUAGUGCAUUGGAUUUAAACCCCAAAAAUGAAGUUUAACCUUUUUUCAGAA
rnacentral:tRNA from 1 species